AAAGGAAGUUGACGGGGCCCGCACAAGCGGAGGAGCAUGUGGUUUAAUUCGAUGAUACGCGAGGAACCUUACCUGGGCUCGAACGUAAGAUGACUGUAGGUGAAAGCUUACAUCUCUUCGGAGCAUUUUACGAGGUGCUGCAUGGUUGUCGUCAGCUCGCGCCGUGAGGUGUCGGGUUAAGUCCCAUAACGAGCGCAACCCCUGCCUUUAGUUGCCAUCAGGUUAAGCUGGGGACUCUAAAGGAACUGCCUACGCAAGUAGUGAGGAAGGCGGGGAUGACGUCAAAUCAGCACGGCCCUUACGUCCAGGGCUACACACGUGCUACAAUGGCCGAUACAGAGGGCAGCUACCUGGUGACAGGAUGCAAAUCUCCAAAGUCGGUCUCAGUUCGGAUCGGAGUCUGCAACCCGACUCCGUGAAGUUGGAUUCGCUAGUAAUCGCGCAUCAGCCAUGGCGCGGUGAAUACGUUCCCGGGCCUU
rnacentral:rRNA from 1 species